rnacentral:rRNA from 1 species
AUUGAACGCUGGCGGCAGGCCUAACACAUGCAAGUCGAGCGGAUGAAGGGAGCUUGCUCCUGGAUUCAGCGGCGGACGGGUGAGUAAUGCCUAGGAAUCUGCCUGGUAGUGGGGGAUAACGUCCGGAAACGGGCGCUAAUACCGCAUACGUCCUGAGGGCGAAAGGGGGGGAUCUUCGGACCUUACGCUAUCAGACGAGCCUAGGUCGGAUUAGCUAGUUGGUGGGGUAAAGGCCUACCAAGGCGACGAUCCGUAACUGGUCUGAGAGGAUGAUCAGUCACACUGGAACUGAGACACGGUCCAGACUCCUACGGGAGGCAGCAGUGGGGAAUAUUGGACAAUGGGCGAAAGCCUGAUCCAGCCAUGCCGCGUGUGUGAAGAAGGUCUUCGGAUUGUAAAGCACUUUAAGUUGGGAGGAAGGGCAGUAAGUUAAUACCUUGCUGUUUUGACGUUACCAACAGAAUAAGCACCGGCUAACUUCGUG